rnacentral:rRNA from 1 species
UUAUGAGAGUUUGAUCCUGGCUCAGGACGAACGCUGGCGGCGUGCCUAAUACAUGCAAGUCGAACGCUUUUUCUUUCACCGGAGCUUGCUCCACCGAAAGAAAAAGAGUGGCGAACGGGUGAGUAACACGUGGGUAACCUGCCCAUCAGAAGGGGAUAACACUUGGAAACAGGUGCUAAUACCGUAUAACACUAUUUUCCGCAUGGAAGAAAGUUGAAAGGCGCUUUUGCGUCACUGAUGGAUGGACCCGCGGUGCAUUAGCUAGUUGGUGAGGUAACGGCUCACCAAGGCAACGAUGCAUAGCCGACCUGAGAGGGUGAUCGGCCACACUGGGACUGAGACACGGCCCAGACUCCUACGGGAGGCAGCAGUAGGGAAUCUUCGGCAAUGGACGAAAGUCUGACCGAGCAACGCCGC